rnacentral:rRNA from 1 species
UACGUAGGGGGCUAGCGUUGUCCGGAAUCAUUGGGCGUAAAGCGCGUGUAGGCGGUCCGGUAAGUCCGCUGUGAAAGUCGGGGGCUCAACCCUCGAAUGCCGGUGGAUACUGUCGGGCUAGAGUGCGGAAGAGGCGAGUGGAAUUCCUGGUGUAGCGGUGAAAUGCGCAGAUAUCAGGAGGAACACCGAUGCGAAGGCAGGAUCUCUUGGGCAUUAACUGACGCUGAGGAGCGAAAAGCGUGGGGAGCAAACAGG